CAGCCGCAGCACUUCUUUCUGGGAUUCCCGCAGCAGCCGGUCGAAGUCCACCACGUUCAGGCAGCGAGGGUCACCCUGCGGGGAACGAUUCCCAGCUCAUGUACUGAUGGCCCUCACUGCUGGUGCCUUGGCAGGUUACACAGAUGGUCUCACCUUCCCAGCCAGGGUGGUUGCCCAUGCCCUAGCAGCAAAGCAGCAACUGAAGUCUCAUCAGCUAUGAGGACUGCACCCAUACGUAUUUCCUUGGCCAGUAAUGAAUCUUGCUCUCCUGCCUUUGUCACAUUCUUCUACAGUUUGUCAGCUUCCUAUCCCUGGGAGAUUCAGCUUGUUCAGCACGCUCUGCUGUGAAAAUCAGAGGGCUUGUUCCCCCUUCUGUGGGAGUCUGCAGUGAGUAGUCAUGGGCACAGGAAGGAAAUUUGUUCUUGGUGCUUCACCUUCUCCUCCGUCUCGGGGAAGCAGCUCCUGCGCUGGAUAACAGAAGGAGAGGGCCAAGGUGAGACCUCACUCAGUGUCCCUCCGCAGUGCUUACACACCCUCCUUCACUUGUCUCCUCCACGGUCACUGAAACUUCGCUUCUCCUGAUGUUUUGUUAACGUCACAUCUUGGUUCCUCAAAGAAACCCCUUGCCCCAUCCAGCCUAUGGACGCUCUGCAACCUUACACUCUCUCUGCUCUUUGCAGGCUCUGCCUUUGCCACUUGGGACUUGGCACCUUGGGGCUGCUGCCCCUUCCGAAGCCUAUCCCUGUUCAUCUCCCUGCUGCUUCAGUGUUCAACACAUCACUGUGGGUUUGUGCUGCAGCACCAUGUUACAAUGCGAGCUUUGCAGCUGUCCUUGCUCCCCUGACACUGAAGCAUGAGUUGGGGGGACGGGGAGAGAGCAGCCAAGGACUUUACAAUGUUUGCAAACUAAAUUUCCUUUUCCUUUCUAUUGAUUCUGUUCGCUCUUAAUCCCCUUUUAUUUGUUAUCUGUCUGUUUCGAUAAGCUGCUCCUUGUUCUCUCAAGGUCAAACCCAGAUGUGUUGCGCUGUCUUUUCACAUUAGCAAAAACGCCAGGUCAGCUGAUCCUUCCAAUUAUUUCCUUCACUACCUCUGUGAUCCCACCAAGUGCACGUGCUGCUUCCACUGCCUUAUUUGAUUUCCUUCAGUCAGAAGACAAGAGGCUGAUUUUUGAGAGUAAGAUUUGACGCCAGCUUUUAUGACAGUGCUUUGCUAAAAUCCAUGGUUGUCAGUGGGUGACCCUCCCCAGUGCGCAUGGCGUGCUGAAUUUAUGUUCUUAGUGCAAGAAAAUUAUAUAAAACGUGUUUUGAAUCUAGUUAUAUACAUGUUGAAUGAUUAAUCUUUUAAGGGUAUUUUGAAGGGAAAAAAUUGGCAUGAUCUGUGCUCUUCUCGGAUUCUUUCCUGCCUUCUUCCAAUCCUUUUCAAAGAGCUGCUGUGACAUUUACAUUGAGAAAAGGGAAACACUUCUGCCUAGGACGGCAGUAUGGCCCUACACUUUCAGAGACGCAUGGAGAAUGAGCAAUGCAAGGUGCUCCCCUUUGCACAGUGUAGUUCAGAGCCAGGGUUGCUGAUGAACUGAAAAGUUAUAGGGUUGGACUGAUGCAGCUCUGCCAGCACUGCAGAACUUAGCUCCAGGGUGGCUACAUCCAUGUACCACAGGGCUUCCCAGGCAAGGAUGCUUUCUGGUGAGGAUUCAGUAGGGAGAAUCCCCUCUUCUUAUUUCCUGGCUGCUGACUGUGAAUGUGGAACCCAAGGAGGUGGGAGUGGGGCAGAUUGGGCAGCCUGCACUGUGGCAGCCUGGCCUGCCUUUGGGUGCUGGGGUGCAGCUGGAAUCAGGUGCCAAGCUCCCACUGAGCAGGGGGCACUGCUGCAUUGUAACCCAGAACAGGGCUGACUGAAUCAGUGUUUCUGCUUUUCCACUUAAAGAGGAAACAAGAGCGACUUCCCCCUCCCCUGCCGUCAGUUCGCUGCUGCCUUUCUCUCUGCCAAAGCUGGCAGCUGUGGAAAAGCCUCUUGCAGUUGCCAGCAGGCAAACAAUCCUGGCAAGGAUGUCAAGGAGGGCAUCAGCAGGUCACCAGGAAGGGGUCCUGCUCAAGCCAACACUGGGUGCAGCAGAAAGGCACCUAGGGGACCCAAAACACCCUGCUCACCCCAGCUGACCCCAUGUGCUGUUCUCUUGGAGCUUGGCCCAGCCAAGACUCCUUCCCCAUGCAUCAUCCACACCGGUGUGUCUUGAGCCAGCCUGGUGCCUGGCCAGGGUGCAGGAAGGGGCUGUGUUCUGC